rnacentral:tRNA from 1 species
GCCAGCGUAGCUCAGGGGUAGAGCAGCUGAUUCGUAAUCAGCAGGUCGCGGGUUCGAAUCCCAUCGCUGGCUCCA